rnacentral:rRNA from 1 species
AUUGAACGCUGGCGGCAGGCCUAACACAUGCAAGUCGAACGAGUGGCGGACGGGUGAGUAAUGCUUGGGAAUCUAGCUUAUGGAGGGGGAUAACUACGGGAAACUGUAGCUAAUACCGCGUACCAUCGGCUGAGCCCAAGUGGGAUUAGGUAGUUGGUGAGGUAAAGGCUCACCAAGCCGACGAUCCCUAGCUGGUCUGAGCGGAUGACCAGCCACACUGGGACUGAGACACGGCCCAGACUCCUACGGGAGGCAGCAGUGGGGAAUAUUGCGCAAUGGGGGCAACCUGACGCAGCCAUGCCGCGUGUAUGAAGAAGGCCUUCGGGUUGUAAAGUUCUUUCGGUGGCGAGGCGUUAACUGCAGAAGAAGCACCGGCUAACUCCGUGCCAGCCGCCGCGGUAAUAC